CGGGGGGCGGCGCGGCGCGGGCGCGCGCGGUCACGUGACGCCCCUCCCGAACUGCGGCGGCGGCGGCGGAGCCGCGUCCCAGCCGAGCUGCAGCCGAGCAGGCGCCGAGCCGCAGCGCCCGAGGCCCGCGAGUGGACAAGACCUUCUCCCCUCGCCGGAGUGUGUGGAGGAGUGAUGGGCAGAGCCAGUGCUUCCCUCCGCCGCUAGACCUGCCACGGGUGGACUUCACCUCCUCCCACGCCGCUUCCCUGGGCCCCAAGAACACAGAUCUGUUUGAGAUGAUUGAAAAGAUGCAGGGAAGCAGGAUGGAUGAACAGCGCUGCUCCUUCCCACCGCCCCUCAAAACGGAGGAGGACUACAUUCCCUAUCCCAGCGUCCACGAGGUUCUGGGGCGAGAAGGACCCUUCCCCCUCAUCCUGCUGCCCCAAUUUGGGGGCUACUGGAUCGAAGGCACCAACCACGAAAUCACCAGCGUCCCUGAGACAGAGCCACUGCAGUCCCCCACGGCCAAGGUGAAGCUGGAGUGCAACCCCACAGCCCGCAUCUACCGGAAGCACUUCCUUGGCAAGGAACAUUUCAAUUACUACUCGCUGGACACCGCCCUGGGCCACCUGGUCUUCUCCCUCAAGUAUGAUGUCAUCGGGGACCAGGAGCACCUGCGACUGCUGCUCAGGACCAAGUGCCGAACAUACCACGAUGUCAUCCCCAUCUCUUGCCUCACGGAGUUCCCCAAUGUGGUUCAGAUGGCAAAGCUGGUGUGUGAAGACGUGAAUGUGGAUCGCUUCUACCCAGUGCUCUACCCCAAGGCCUCCCGGCUCAUCGUCACCUUCGACGAGCAUGUUAUCAGCAAUAACUUCAAGUUUGGAGUCAUUUACCAGAAGCUUGGGCAGACAUCCGAGGAGGAACUCUUCAGCACCAACGAGGAGAGCCCCGCCUUCGUGGAGUUCCUGGAGUUUCUUGGUCAGAAGGUCAAGCUGCAGGAUUUUAAGGGGUUCCGCGGAGGCCUGGACGUGACGCAUGGGCAGACGGGCACCGAGUCUGUGUACUGCAACUUCCGCAGCAAGGAGAUCAUGUUUCACGUGUCCACCAAGCUGCCCUACACAGAGGGGGACGCCCAGCAGUUGCAGCGCAAGCGGCACAUCGGGAACGACAUCGUGGCCGUGGUCUUCCAGGACGAGAACACGCCCUUCGUGCCCGACAUGAUCGCGUCCAACUUUUUGCAUGCCUAUGUGGUGGUGCAGGCAGAGACCGGGGGCCCCGACGGUCCCCUCUACAAGGUGUCCGUCACUGCUAGAGAUGAUGUGCCCUUCUUUGGGCCCCCCCUCCCAGACCCAGCUGUGUUUAGGAAGGGGCCUGAGUUCCAGGAAUUUUUGCUGACAAAACUGAUCAAUGCUGAAUACGCCUGCUACAAAGCAGAGAAAUUUGCCAAACUGGAGGAGCGGACGCGGGCCGCCCUUCUGGAGACGCUGUACGAGGAGCUGCACAUCCACAGCCAGUCCAUGAUGGGCCUGGGCGGCGACGAGGACAAGAUGGAGAACGGCGGCGGCAGCGGUGGUUUCUUCGAGUCUUUCAAGAGGGUGAUCCGGAGCCGCAGCCAGUCCAUGGAUGCCAUGGGGCUCAGCAACAAGAAGCCCAGCACCGUGUCCACCAGCCACAGCGGGAGCUUUGCGCCCAACAACCCCGACCUGGCCAAGGCUGCUGGCAUAUCAUUGCUUAUUCCUGGGAAAAGUGCGAGUAGAUUCGGACGCCGGGGCAGUGCCAUAGGCAUAGGAACCGUGGAAGAGUCUCUGAUCGUCCCCGGGAAGAGCCCCACAAGGAAGAAGUCGGGCCCGUUCGGCUCCCGCCGCAGCAGCGCCAUUGGCAUCGAGAACAUACAGGAGGUGCAGGAGAAGAGGCCUGGUGCUGAAUCCCCCCGCUGCCCCCGUGUGCCCCGCAGGGAGAGCCCCCCGGCCGGCCAGAAGACCCCAGACAGCGGGCACGUGUCCCAGGAGCCCAAGUCAGAGAACUCGUCCACUCAGAGCUCCCCAGAGAUGCCCACGACCAAGAACAGAGCCGAGGCUGCGGCCCAGAGGACGGAGGCGCUAAAGGACUUCUCCCGCUCCUCGUCCAGCGCCAGCAGCUUCGCCAGCGUGGUGGAGGAGACGGAGGGUGCGGAGGGGGACGAUGCCGGCUUGGAGAGCGCCUCGUCCUCGGGGACACCCCACAAGCGGGACUCCUUCAUCUACAGCACGUGGCUGGAGGACAGCGUCAGCACCACGAGUGGGGGCAGCUCCCCAGUGAGGUGGCUCCCUCCUGCCCCCCUCUCCAGGCCCCUCGAGGUCACCCCACCCCGACGCCGGCAAGUCGGGGGACCCUGCGUGUCCCGAGAUCAAGAUUCAGCUGGAAGCCUCUGAGCAGCCCCCAGCCCAGCUGGGCUGUUAGCCGGGCUUCCCUCUGAAGGUGGAACCCAGCAGGUGGGGCUGCCGAAGCACAAGGUGAAGAUUCUGUGUCAGAUCCAGGCAGCGGGACCUCUGCCCCCAGGGCCAGCACUGUGGACUGUCCCCCCCUCCCGUGUCCCCGGGCUGUCCCCGGGCCCACCUCUGGGCCGUCUCUGCAGGGCAGAGCCGUCCAGACCUCGGAGCCGCCAUCCCCCUCCCCGCAGAGCUGGGGGCCCAGGCUGGGCCGGGGAGCGGUCCGUUGAAGCAGGACUGCAGGCCUGGCCCGCCAUCACCUGUGGGGAGCCGGGGGCCUCUUGGACUCCGGAGGAACAAGAAGAAGGCAGAAGGGGAUGGGGGCGUCUUUGAGCACUCGACACGCCCUGGCAGCAGCCGAGCGGGGUUGGGUGGAAGGAGCACUGGGCUCAGUCCUGGCUUUGGGCUUGGGUUCUGCUGUGUGACUUUGAGCCAAUCCCUCUCCCUCUCUGGGCGCCCCAUCUGUAGAAGGAUGAGAUCCUUGCAGAGGUCAUGGAGGACUGUGGUUCCGUGCACCCGGGACAGAAGGUUGUCUGACCAUCACACUCACCUGCUUCUUGGGGUCCCUGGGACCCCUGUCAGGCUGAAGGGCAGGGGGCCGACUGUGCACAUUUCCCCCUGGGACCCUCACACUCUCCCACAGACUUGCCCAUCCUACUGCCUCCAGGGGGCAGGCCAGUGGCCCCCUUGGUGGUGGGGGGGGGGCUCCCUGGGCCCCCCCCCGCAGCACGUGACUUCACCGCUGCCAUCUCCUGCUCCCGGGCGCCGUGGCCCAGGGUCCUCAGCUGGGGAGAGUCACAGGCCUGCGCCCCCCGCCCGCAGAGGGGCGGCCAGACACAGCUGCUGUGAGUCCAUCCUCGUGUGUAUGUGUGUGUGUGUGCGUGUAUGUGUCCACACUUUUUAGGCGUCACGCCCAAGGCCAGCCUUCCAGCCCCGACACCCAUUUUGGAAGCCCCCGUGGCCGUGUGUAUGUCGGUAACAGUUGUACAAAAUAAAUUCUAUUUAUCGCUAUUGUACCCUGA